rnacentral:lncRNA from 1 species
GGAUAUCCACGACAUACCCAAGCCGAAAAAUAAAAACACCUUCAUCCGCAAGCCUGGUGGAGGUGGCCUCCCUGGCCGACAUCGGUGACCUGGUGAACAUGCAAAUUCUUAGCCGCGGCAAGGUUCAAAAUGAAAAAUAAAUUGAGCACGAAAGGUUUAUGUUUGUUCUUUUGUUUAGUUACACUGGUUAUCUGGUCCGCUGAAAUAUUGUCCAGCACAACCAAGUCAAGAUAUAAUACUAGUACUACUGAUAAAAGGACCAAGGUUAUAUAUUUGAGAAUUUGUGCUGUAGCUUGUUUUUUUUAAGAGGUCUCUUGAAUGUACCUGGAAGUAUUUAAUUGAGAAUUUGCGUUUGUGGUGACGUUUAUCCAUUUUACCGUUAUAAAGGCGUACUGCCAUCCCUGAUAUUUG